GACGAACGCUGGCGGCGUGCCUAAUACACGCAAGUAGAACGCUGAAGGAGGAGCUUGCUUCUCUGGAUGAGUUGCGAACGGGUGAGUAACGCGUAGGUAACCUGCCUGGUAGCGGGGGAUAACUAUUGGAAACGAUAGCUAAUACCGCAUAACAGUAGAUAUCGCAUGAUAUCUACUUGAAAGGUGCAAUUGCAUCACUACCAGAUGGACCUGCGUUGUAUUAGCUAGUUGGUGAGGUAACGGCUCACCAAGGCGACGAUACAUAGCCGACCUGAGAGGGUGAUCGGCCACACUGGGACUGAGACACGGCCCAGACUCCUACGGGAGGCAGCAGUAGGGAAUCUUCGGCAAUGGACGGAAGUCUGACCGAGCAACGCCGCGUGAGUGAAGAAGGUUUUCGGAUCGUAAAGCUCUGUUGUAAGAGAAGAACGAGUGUGAGAGUGGAAAGUUCACACUGUGACGGUAUCUUACCAGAAAGGGACGGCUAACUACGUG
rnacentral:rRNA from 1 species